rnacentral:piRNA from 1 species
UUAGUGCCACGUAUUAGAAGGUUAACUUU